AUAACGUGUUGGGAAGCGAUACGCUUCCCGUGUAUGAUUGAACCUGCGGGCGCGAGGCGCCGGGGUUCAUUUUUGU
rnacentral:sRNA from 20 species